rfam:Orientia tsutsugamushi Boryong complete genome
AAAGUCCAGUUAUGGAAGGAGAAGCUAGAUCCACCGUAUAGCGAGUCUUGUGCUGCUGAAGGUAACGACAGUAGUAAAGCGUAGACAGUAGACUUCUUUCGAAACUA